GACGAACGCUGGCGGCGGGCUUAACACAUGCAAGUCGAACGGAAAGGCCCUGCUUUUGUGGGGUGCUCGAGUGGCGAACGGGUGAGUAACACGUGAGUAACCUGCCCUUGACUUUGGGAUAACUUCAGGAAACUGGGGCUAAUACCGGAUAGGAGCUCCUGCUGCAUGGUGGGGGUUGGAAAGUUUCGGCGGUUGGGGAUGGACUCGCGGCUUAUCAGCUUGUUGGUGGGGUAGUGGCUUACCAAGGCUUUGCCGGGUAGCCGGGCUGAGAGGGUGACCGGCCACAUUGGGCCUGAGAUACGGCCCAGACCCCUCCGGGAGGCAGCAGUGGGGAAUAUUGCACAAUGGGCGGAAGCCUGAUGCAGCAACGCCGCGUGCGGGAUGACGGCCUUCGGGUUGUAAACCGCUUUCGCCUGUGACGAAGCGUGAGUGACGGUAAUGGGUAAAGAAGCACCGGCUAACUACGUG
rnacentral:rRNA from 1 species